GCGCGCCUGCCAGGCCGGGGCCGGCGGCGGAACAGCUUGGGACCCGAAACGCCUCGGCUUUUCUGCGGACCCGCGCCCGGCCGCUGCCGCCGGACGCUUGAAAAGAGGCAGAGUCUUGCUUUGUUGUCCAGGCUGGUCUUGAACUUCUGAGCUCAAGUGAUCCUCCCGCCUUGGCCUCCCAAAGUGCUGAGACUACAGAGAGAGAAUGCUAACGAGCUGUGAAAUGACCAAAGAUCUGGCAGCAGAAGGGAAAAGAAAAAAUAAUGGGAAGAAGAGGAUUUAUCUGACUCAACUGGAGAUGGCUCCCUUCCCUUAUUUAUUGUUGCAUCCUGAAGCUUCCCCCAUGCUGGGCUCAGUGUGAACAAACAGCGCGGGAGAAUGCAACCACUGCAGAGGCAUAUGUUUGAGAUACCUGGCCACUGGAGGUCAUCUCGUCUACUAUAUUCACCGCAGAUAAAGAAUGAAAAGAGAAUACACAACCUUGUGAUUGCUAGCAGUGAAAGCUCAGAGUUAUGACAUAACAGAAUUGGCUCAUGUGACUAUGGAGGCUGAGAUGUCCCAAGAGCUGGAUACCCAGGAGAAGCAAAGGGUACAAAUUGAUCUGACUUGAUUUGUCAGAGAGCCAGAACUGCAGGCAAAUAGACGCCAGAGAAAUCAACCAAUCUUUUAAGCCAGCAGUAAUUGUUCCUCCUGUCGGCUGGCUAAAUGACUUGUAUCUGGAGGAGACGCUCAGAAUGAAUCAGAAUGCUUGAGGUGACAGAAACACAGAGCAUUCCAAAGUG
rnacentral:lncRNA from 1 species